rnacentral:rRNA from 2 species
UUAAGUUAUUAAGGGCGCACGGUGGAUGCCUUGGCACUAGAAGCCGAUGAAGGACGUUACUAACGACGAUAUGCUUUGGGGAGCUGUAAGUAAGCUUUGAUCCAGAGAUUUCCGAAUGGGGAAACCCAGCAUGAGUUAUGUCAUGUUAUCGAUAUGUGAAUACAUAGCAUAUCAGAAGGCACACCCGGAGAACUGAAACAUCUUAGUACCCGGAGGAAGAGAAAGAAAAUUCGAUUCCCUUAGUAGCGGCGAGCGAAAUGGGAAGAGCCCAAACCAACAAGCUUGCUUGUUGGGGUUGUAGGACACUCUAUACGGAGUUACAAAGGACGACAUUAGACGAAUCAUCUGGAAAGAUGAAUCAAAGAAGGUAAUAAUCCUGUAGUCGAAAAUGUUGUCUCUCUUGAGUGGAUCCUGAGUACGACGGAGCACGUGAAAUUCCGUCGGAAUCUGGGAGGACCAUCUCCUAAGGCUAAAUACUCUCUAGUGACCGAUAGUGAACCAGUACCGUGAGGGAAAGGUGAAAAGCACCCCGGAAGGGGAGUGAAAUAGAACCUGAAACCGUGUGCUUACAAGUAGUCAGAGCCCGUUAAUGGGUGAUGGCGUGCCUUUUGUAGAAUGAACCGGCGAGUUACGAUUUGAUGCAAGGUUAAGCAGUAAAUGUGGAGCCGUAGCGAAAGCGAGUCUGAAUAGGGCGUUUAGUAUUUGGUCGUAGACCCGAAACCAGGUGAUCUACCCUUGGUCAGGUUGAAGUUCAGGUAACACUGAAUGGAGGACCGAACCGACUUACGUUGAAAAGUGAGCGGAUGAACUGAGGGUAGCGGAGAAAUUCCAAUCGAACCUGGAGAUAGCUGGUUCUCUCCGAAAUAGCUUUAGGGCUAGCCUCAAGUGAUGAUUAUUGGAGGUAGAGCACUGUUUGGACGAGGGGCCCCUCUCGGGUUACCGAAUUCAGACAAACUCCGAAUGCCAAUUAAUUUAACUUGGGAGUCAGAACAUGGGUGAUAAGGUCCGUGUUCGAAAGGGAAACAGCCCAGACCACCAGCUAAGGUCCCAAAAUAUAUGUUAAGUGGAAAAGGAUGUGGCGUUGCCCAGACAACUAGGAUGUUGGCUUAGAAGCAGCCAUCAUUUAAAGAGUGCGUAAUAGCUCACUAGUCGAGUGACACUGCGCCGAAAAUGUACCGGGGCUAAACAUAUUACCGAAGCUGUGGAUUGUCCUUUGGACAAUGGUAGGAGAGCGUUCUAAGGGCGUUGAAGCAUGAUCGUAAGGACAUGUGGAGCGCUUAGAAGUGAGAAUGCCGGUGUGAGUAGCGAAAGACGGGUGAGAAUCCCGUCCACCGAUUGACUAAGGUUUCCAGAGGAAGGCUCGUCCGCUCUGGGUUAGUCGGGUCCUAAGCUGAGGCCGACAGGCGUAGGCGAUGGAUAACAGGUUGAUAUUCCUGUACCACCUAUAAUCGUUUUAAUCGAUGGGGGGACGCAGUAGGAUAGGCGAAGCGUGCGAUUGGAUUGCACGUCUAAGCAGUAAGGCUGAGUAUUAGGCAAAUCCGGUACUCGUUAAGGCUGAGCUGUGAUGGGGAGAAGACAUUGUGUCUUCGAGUCGUUGAUUUCACACUGCCGAGAAAAGCCUCUAGAUAGAAAAUAGGUGCCCGUACCGCAAACCGACACAGGUAGUCAAGAUGAGAAUUCUAAGGUGAGCGAGCGAACUCUCGUUAAGGAACUCGGCAAAAUGACCCCGUAACUUCGGGAGAAGGGGUGCUCUUUAGGGUUAACGCCCAGAAGAGCCGCAGUGAAUAGGCCCAAGCGACUGUUUAUCAAAAACACAGGUCUCUGCUAAACCGUAAGGUGAUGUAUAGGGGCUGACGCCUGCCCGGUGCUGGAAGGUUAAGAGGAGUGGUUAGCUUCUGCGAAGCUACGAAUCGAAGCCCCAGUAAACGGCGGCCGUAACUAUAACGGUCCUAAGGUAGCGAAAUUCCUUGUCGGGUAAGUUCCGACCCGCACGAAAGGCGUAACGAUUUGGGCACUGUCUCAACGAGAGACUCGGUGAAAUCAUAGUACCUGUGAAGAUGCAGGUUACCCGCGACAGGACGGAAAGACCCCGUGGAGCUUUACUGUAGCCUGAUAUUGAAAUUCGGCACAGCUUGUACAGGAUAGGUAGGAGCCUUUGAAACGUGAGCGCUAGCUUACGUGGAGGCGCUGGUGGGAUACUACCCUAGCUGUGUUGGCUUUCUAACCCGCACCACUUAUCGUGGUGGGAGACAGUGUCAGGCGGGCAGUUUGACUGGGGCGGUCGCCUCCUAAAAGGUAACGGAGGCGCUCAAAGGUUCCCUCAGAAUGGUUGGAAAUCAUUCAUAGAGUGUAAAGGCAUAAGGGAGCUUGACUGCGAGACCUACAAGUCGAGCAGGGUCGAAAGACGGACUUAGUGAUCCGGUGGUUCCGCAUGGAAGGGCCAUCGCUCAACGGAUAAAAGCUACCCCGGGGAUAACAGGCUUAUCUCCCCCAAGAGUUCACAUCGACGGGGAGGUUUGGCACCUCGAUGUCGGCUCAUCGCAUCCUGGGGCUGUAGUCGGUCCCAAGGGUUGGGCUGUUCGCCCAUUAAAGCGGUACGCGAGCUGGGUUCAGAACGUCGUGAGACAGUUCGGUCCCUAUCCGUCGUGGGCGUAGGAAAUUUGAGAGGAGCUGUCCUUAGUACGAGAGGACCGGGAUGGACAUACCUCUGGUGUACCAGUUGUCGUGCCAACGGCAUAGCUGGGUAGCUAUGUGUGGACGGGAUAAGUGCUGAAAGCAUCUAAGCAUGAAGCCCCCCCUCAAGAUGAGAUUUCCCAACUUCGGUUAUAAGAUCCCUCAAAGAUGAUGAGGUUAAUAGGUUCGAGGUGGAAGCAUGGUGACAUGUGGAGCUGACGAAUACUAAUCGAUCGAAGACUUAAUCAA